rnacentral:tRNA from 1 species
GCCGGGAUAGCUCAGUUGGUAGAGCAGCUGAUUCGUAAUCAGCAGGCCGUGGGUUCAAGUCCCAUUCCCGGCUCCA